rnacentral:lncRNA from 1 species
GGUGUUACAAUUAUGAUCACUUGUAGCAUAUGCAUCUGCUGAUGCAUUAUGUUGUAUAUAUUGGAAGUUUUGUGUAAUUUCUAUAUGCGAUGUAGUGCUCAUCUAGAUAGUGGAUUCUACUUCUUGUUUGAUGUCAACUGUUGAUAGUGUUGAAAAUAUAAACAAAGUCAGAAAUAGCAGCAGUCAAGGCUCCCAACAUCAGUCAAAAAUUAACCAAAAUCCCUUAAUCAUAGGGAUCCUUGUAUGACUGUGUAGAAGUGUAAUAUUGACUGUCAUCUCCUCUUCAAGCGUACACUUACACUAUAAAAGGGAUGAUUGUAAUGAGAAAUAUAAGAAAUACAAUAACAACUGUAUCUCCAACCUUUCAAACCAAGGCAGUCAACUGUCAUUUUUUUCUUUUUUUUCCCUGCAGAAAACAGUACGAAAAUGUCAGGGGAAUUACAAAAUAUAGACCAGAAUGCAGAUACAAUCGAACUAACCCAACAAAUCGCCAAUAUGAUGCGAAACUCCGACAACAUCGUGCUCGGAUUCAAGCUAGAUGGCAACAACUAUCCACUAUGGUCACGCCUCAUGAAGGUAGCCAUAGGCAGUAGAGGCAGAACCAGACACAUUACCGGACAACCACCACCUCCAGACACCACAGAUCCCAAUUACUACAAAUGGGAAGAAACGGAUUUGACCGUUUUUUGCUGGCUAUUACAGAAUAUGGACGGGAAAUUAGUAAUGAAUUUUUCCCAACAUCAAACAGCCAAAGCCGUGUGGGAUAGCUUAGCAGUAACCUAUGGGAGUGGAGCCACAGAUCCACUCCAAAUUUACGACUUGGAAGUAAAAGCGAAUAAGGUGAAUCAGGGGCAACUCACUCUAGAGGAAUAUUGGAACGAAGUAAAAGCGAAUAAGGUGAAUCAGGGGCAACUCACUCUAGAGGAAUAUUGGAACGAAUUACAAACCAUAUGGCUCAAUAUCGACAGGAGGGAGCCGAAUCCGUUGGGCUGUUGUGAAGAAGGCAUCACCAAAUACCAGAAACUGAUCGGAAAUCGGCGGUUGUACCAAUUCCUCUCCGGAUUAGAUACAAAAUACGACAACGUCCGUCGGGAUAUCCUCAAGGAAACCCCGGCUCCCUCAGCGGAGUCGGCUUUCUCAAAAGUUAGAAGGGAGGCCGCCCGGCUACAAAUUUUGCAGCCGGCAACCAACCAUUCCGACAUCAACGCAUCAUCAUCGGGAGGGAUUGGAACCGGCCUCGCCACCGUUCACCACCAUACCCAACAGUCUAUAUCCCGGCCGCCACACAUCGCCGCCGGCCGAGGCAACCCACCACGCUCCGGGAACACUUCAAAUCGCAAGAAAGAGGACAAAUCAAAACUCUAUUGUACUCAUUGCGGCAUGAACAAACACAUUAAAGAAAUGUGUUUUCAAAUUAUUGGUUACCCGGAGUGGUGGGAAAACAAUUCCAAGGUUGCGAAAGGGAAAAUGGCGGACGGAAGUGGAGGAAAUUCGGAGCAGAUCGGAGCAACACCGACCGGAUCGGCGGUGGCCAUGGCUGUCGACCGACUGGCAGCCUCUGGACCGUGGGGCGCGAGGGAGAUAUCGGCGGCUGGAAAUCAGUCGCCGCUGACCGUGGGGGCGGCGGCACCGGCCGUGGACCGACCGGCGGUGGCGGCAGCGGUUGUGGAUCGUCCGGCAGCGGCUGCAGGACCAAGGAAGGGAGGAGGCGCAGCCUUGUUUGAUGGAGGCGCAGAAUUAGGUAUAGGGUUCACACCAAACCCCCUAACUUCUUCAUAUUCUUAUAAAAGACCCCAUGUUUUGCCCUUAGGUCCCUCGAAUUUUCGAAAUUUGAAAAUACCACCCCUGAACUAUUCUGAAUUUCAGAAAGAACCCCAUCUUAUGAAAACUAACUCCCUAGUUUUUCAUAAAUUAAAAAAACACCCCAAACCUUUGUGUGAUACCUCAAAAUAUCAGCCUUUUAUGUAGAAAAUCCCUAAAAUCUUCCGCUACAUAUCAAAACUCAUCUGAUAAUAGGGAUAGGGAUAAAAGGUGGAUUUUUAUUGUGGAGCCACUGAUACGAUGACUUUUGAUAAAACUGAUAUCAUUAAGCCAUCAGCACCAUACCGAACACAUGUUCAAACUGCAAAUGGUGACUUAACCCGUGUUGAAGGGGCUGGAACCAUAGAAAUCUCUCCUACUAUGCACCUCUCAAACUGUCUUUAUGUCCCUUCUCUAUCUCAUAAACUCUUGUCUAUUAGCCAUGUUACAGAAGAACUAAAUUGUACCAUGCUAAUGAAUCCUCAAUUCUGUCUUCUUCAGGAUA